UUCCAGCUCCAAUAGCGUAUAUUAAAGUUGUUGCAGUUAAAAAGCUCGUAGUUGAAUUUCGGGGUUAGUAGGUUGGUCAUGCCUCCGGUAUGUACUGAUCUCACUGAUUCCUCCUUCCUUAUGAACCGUAAUGCCAUUAAUUUGGUGUUGCGGGGAAUUUGGACUGUUACUUUGAAAAAAUUAGAGUGUUUAAAGCAGGCUAACGCUUGAAUACAUUAGCAUGGAAUAAUGAAAUAGGACGUUCGAUCUUAUUUUGUUGGUUUCUAGGAUUGACGUAAUGAUUAAUAGGGAUAGUUGGGGGCAUUAGUAUUCAAUUGUCAGAGGUGAAAUUCUUGGAUUUAUUGAAGACUAACUACUGCGAAAGCCUUUGCCAAGGAUGUUUUCAUUAAUCAAGAACGAAAGUUAGGGGAUCGAAGACGAUCAGAUACCGUCGUAGUCUUAACCAUAAACUAUGCCGACUAGGGAUCGG
rnacentral:rRNA from 1 species